rnacentral:rRNA from 1 species
GACGAACGCUGGCGGCGUGCUUAACACAUGCAAGUCGAACGGAAAGGCCCUGCUUUUGUGGGGUGCUCGAGUGGCGAACGGGUGAGUAACACGUGAGUAACCUGCCCUUGACUUUGGGAUAACUUCAUGAAACUGGGGCUAAUACCGGAUAGGAGCUCCUGCUGCAUGGUGGGGGUUGGAAAGUUUCGGCGGUUGGGUAUGGACUCGCGGCUUAUCAGCUUGUUGGUGGGGUAGUGGCUUACCAAGGCUUUGACGGGUAGCCGGCCUGAGAGGGUGACCGGCCACAUUGGGACUGAGAUACGGCCCAGACUCCUACGGGAGGCAGCAGUGGGGAAUAUUGCACAAUGGGCGGAAGCCUGAUGCAGCAACGCCGCGUGCGGGAUGACGGCCUUCGGGUUGUAAACCGCUUUCGCCUGUGACGAAGCGUGAGUGACGGUAAUGGGUAAAGAAGCACCGGCUAACUACGUG